rnacentral:rRNA from 1 species
GACGAACGCUGGCGGCGUGCCUAACACAUGCAAGUCGAACGAAGCUCCCGGAAACAAGCUUCGGCAAGUUGAAGGGAUGACUUAGUGGCGGACGGGUGAGUAACGCGUGAGGAACCUGCCUUUCAGUGGGGGACAACAGUUGGAAACGACUGCUAAUACCGCAUAACGUAUACUGGUCGCAUGACUGGUAUACCAAAGAUUUAUUGCUGAAAGAUGGCCUCGCGUCUGAUUAGCUAGUUGGUGGGGUAACGGCUCACCAAGGCAACGAUCAGUAGCCGGACUGAGAGGUUGAACGGCCACAUUGGGACUGAGAUACGGCCCAGACUCCUACGGGAGGCAGCAGUGGGGAAUAUUGGGCAAUGGGGGAAACCCUGACCCAGCAACGCCGCGUGAAGGAAGAAGGCUUUCGGGUUGUAAACUUCUUUUACCAGGGACGAAGGACGUGACGGUACCUGGAGAAAAAGCCACGGCUAACUACGUG